rnacentral:rRNA from 1 species
UACGAAGGGGGGCUAGCGUUGCUCGGAAUCACUGGGCGUAAAGCGCACGUAGGCGGCUUUGCAAGUCGGGUGUGAAAGCCCCUCGGCUCAACCGAGGAAGUGCGCCCGAAACUGCAGAGCUUGAGUACCGGAGAGGAUGGCGGAAUUCCCCAAGUAGAGGUGAAAUUCGUAGAUAUGGGGGAGGAACACCGGUGGCGAAGGCGGCCAUCUGGACGGAUACUGACGCUGAGACGCGAAAGCGUGGGUAGCAAACAGG